rnacentral:rRNA from 1 species
GACGAACGCUGGCGGCGUGCUUAACACAUGCAAGUCGAACGAGAAGAGAUGAGAAGCUUGCUUCUUAUCAAUUCGAGUGGCAAACGGGUGAGUAACGCGUAAGCAACCUGCCCUUCAGAUGGGGGACAACAGCUGGAAACGGCUGCUAAUACCGAAUACGUUCUUUUUGUCGCAUGGCAGAGGGAAGAAAGGGAGGCUCUUCGGAGCUUUCGCUGAAGGAGGGGCUUGCGUCUGAUUAGCUAGUUGGAGGGGUAACGGCCCACCAAGGCGACGAUCAGUAGCCGGUCUGAGAGGAUGAACGGCCACAUUGGGACUGAGACACGGCCCAGACUCCUACGGGAGGCAGCAGGUGGGGAAUCUUCCGCAAUGGACGAAAGUCUGACCCAGCAACGCCGCGUGAAGGAAGAAGGCCUUCGGGUUGUAAACUUCUUUUAAGAGGGACGAAGAAGUGACGGUACCUCUUGAAUAAGCCACGGCUAACUACGUG